rnacentral:ncRNA from 1 species
CCUGUCCGAGGGGCGCUGCAGCAGGCAUGACCUGUCAGGCUCGGAUGGGGCGUUGUUGGUACAGGGCUCCCUGUAUGGACACUAAACGCACAACGGCGCCCAUUCGCA